rnacentral:rRNA from 1 species
GUCUACGACCAUGCUACCCUGAACAAGCCCGAUCCUGUCUGAUCUCGGAAGUUAAGCAAGGUCAGGCUUCAUUAGUACUUGAAUGGGAGACCACUUAGGAAGACUAGGUGCUGUAGGUG